UACGUAGGGGGCAAGCGUUGUCCGGAUUUAUUGGGCGUAAAGAGCUCGUAGGCGGUCUGUUGCGUCCGCUGUGAAAACUCGGGGCUUAACCCCGAGCCUGCAGUGGAUACGGGCAGACUAGAGGUAGGUAGGGGAGAAUGGAAUUCCCGGUGUAGCGGUGAAAUGCGUAGAUAUCAAGUGGAACACCAGUGGCGAAGGCGAGUCCCUGAAAAACUCCUGACACUGAGGCACGAAAGCUAGGGGAGCAAACAGG
rnacentral:rRNA from 1 species